UGCUGCUAGUUUUGUUGCAACGUAAUAACGCGUGGAAAACCGUUCACAGAUGGUGCAUGAAGUUUCUGUCAACAAUUCAACAACAGGACCGGUGACUUCCUGAAGUUCUAGUUGGUCCUCUGGAAACCUCAGUUACCACAAGGAGUGUUUCAUAAGACUGGUGGUCAAUGCCAGUGGUCAGUGUUUACCUCCUGGUAUUAAAAACUGCACAAUGACUUUGAGUAAUAUUAAUUUGUGUUAUUUCAGGCACCUAGCAAUCCCGCCAUCAAUAUAGCCAGAGAUGUUGUCAUCUGGUGUUUGAAGUUGUACCUUGGGGAAUAUGCUGAGCACCUCUUUAAAGAAUAUGAUGAUGCAGAUGAGGACAGUGUUGACAGGACCUUGCUGUACAAGGGAUGAAAAUCUACAGCAUCCAGACUAAUCCGUCAGAGGGUAGAGAGGACAUCGGAAUUGUGAUAGAAGGAACAAAGGUCCUGACUGGUCUGGGUAACUUUCCAAGGGCUUGUGCCAUGCUCAUGGGAUUGACGUAUGCAGUGGAUCUUGCCUAUCCCAAGGAACUCAGGUACACUUCUGAAGCCUUUCAGAAACUUUUCCUCGAGCUGGAUUGUUCAAAGCUUUCCCCAAAAGUGAACAGCCUCAAGAACAAGCUGCUGGCUUAAAAAGGGACCCCUAAAUACGUUGGAGUGCUCCGUAAUUCUGUACUGCAGUUAAGUAUUCAAGUCUUAUUCAGAAAAAACACCUUAUCCAUACUCACUUGAAGCGUGUGAUGUUACACUUUGGACUUAUAAUCGACACGACUCGAAGUAACUGUUUUUGUAGCUUGGUAUGGACAGUGAGAGUUGCACUAUGAAAACACAGAGCUUCUUGAUGGACUAUGAACACUCAGCCACCAGCUUAUGGAUGCCAGUGACACAGUCCACUUUCAUAGAGGCAAAACCGGACUCUUUUGUUUUUCAUGAUUCUUCUGGUUGUUCUUGUAACGCCACCUCACAGCUUCAUUAUGAAGGCGGAAAAUAUUCUGCUGAGUCUUUACCUGUGUUUUGUGCCACUGCUAGUUGUGAGCAUAAGCUGUAUAUGUUGAUCUGACGCAGAGGAGGCUACCUGUGUGAGUGGUCAACCUCAAAUAGCAAGUGCCUUUGUUUUUUUUUUUCCAGAAUAUUUGAUCACUCUGCUUGCAGGCCCCAAACCUCCCUGCCUUUCUGGGAAAAAUAGUUUUGAAAUAUGCACACACAGUUUUAACUGAUGUAGUUGUUGAUGUUUCACUUGUUGUGCGUUUUCUGUAUGAAUUGUUAAGUCACUGCCACAUGGUUUACUUCGAAGCUUGAAGUUGCAGUACUGUAGUUAAUUGCUGUUCAGGUGUUUGUUCAGAAAAAUCCAAUUAGUCAUGUGAGGAGAGGGGCACCCCUUUUAGGACUUAUUAUUGGCACAGGGUUAGCUGCUGCUGUGAUUCUGUUGUGUACAUCAGGGAUACAUGUUUCAUAGAGAAGCUGGAAUUUGCACAAAUAAAUGAUUUGAGUUCCACUGUAGUAGUGAAGAACUAAACCAAAUGAAGGACCUGACCUUUAUCCCAGACUUGAGUCAGUGAGCAUGGGAUGUGUUUCUUUUAAUUGUUUAGAAACAUAUUGACCUUAACCAUUUCAGUUUAUACAGAAAAAAAUGUAUUUAUUUUUGUUUAUGCAAAACACAAAUAAAUGUUUAAUUACCUGCUGUUUUCCUGCCCUG